AUAAAUCAUGGAGAGACUCUCGGAAUCUCUGCGUUAUAAUUGGAAAUCAUGGCAACAUAAUAGGCAAGCACCGUAAGAACCAUAUUCCUAGAGUUGGGGACUUCAAUGAGAGCACGUAUUAAAUCAAUAGAUUUAAAUUGGGGACUUUAAUGGAGCCUGUUGCCUUUGUUGAUUGCAAUUACUAAUAUUUCUAGUAUAUUGCUAGCUCAUUUACUUCAUAGAUAUCAGAUGGUUGUCUGCCUCUUUACCUGGUUGUAUUAAAUCAAUAGAUGUUAGCUGAAAAUUUUGAUUGUAUGUAUCAUUCAUUUUGAUUUUACUAUCAGUUCUAUGAAAUUCUUUUUUGGGCCA